UGAAGAUCUUCUGCUAGCAGGAGGAUUGACAGUCUUGCACUGUACGCACCAUACAUUGCGGCUAUCCUGGUGAAGUGCGCACUAAUAGUAGUCUUACUUGAAACUUUACUUUGGAAGUGGAUCGCUUUUGGAUUCUUAACAAGUCGGGACCAUCCAGUAUGAAGUGCGACCUACGGACAGCUGACUCAUCUGGAAUGCUGUUCUCGGAGGACAAGGAAACUGAGUGCACUUACCUUCCCGUUGUCAAGGGGAAAACAUCAUCUUUCAAAGCACUUUUACUUUUUGUGAGACCUUGACAACUCAAAUCAGAGGACAGUUUCUGGAGACUGAGAAAAGGGGGUUAUCUGGGCAGCACUAAGCAAGUCCUAGCACCCAGGAGUUUUGGGACAAGGAGGACAAUGACCUGAUGAAGGUUACAGAGACAUGAAUCAUGGCAUAGCAGGAAGUGGGAAGGAUUUUAUAUAUUGAGAUGAUAUGGAAAUAUGGAAGAAGCCCAAAUGAUGUGCAAAGUGUGUGGGUUCUGCUACUCAUGGAGUUCCUACACAAGUCAGCAUAGAAGUGCCUACUGAUGUAAGAAGUACCAUGACAGGUCAGUUCUCUGUUUUAGCGGCAUGAAGUACCAUUUCAUUUGUAUAUAUCAAGAAAACAAUCUUACAAGUACCUUAAAAAAAACUACCCAAAGAAAAAUGCACUUUUUCAAAUGGAAGAAUUAAUAUGUGAUAUCACCGGCAAAAUUUUGGAAUCCCCGUGGUGCACUGCUAGCUGAGUCCCUAAGCAGGGUGGGCGUGGCUGUGCGACCCCCCAGGCCUGGGUCGCAAUGGGGCCAUGGAUGGUAUUGAGCACCUGCGCGGCUUGUGAGAGCAAGCCGACCUCCUGCAUUCCAAAAAUCCAGUCUGGACAGCUCUGGAGCUACAGGGCUCUGGCCUGGGAGAAGAAUUUGAGGCAUUGUGCCCUUGCAGGGUCUCUGAGUCGCAACAGACCCAACAGACGCCCGUAGGAGCUGAAGAAGGAGUUUCAAAAACAUACACAUGCAAACACAAACAGAGUCACCAAAAACUCACCUCAUAGCUCAACGCCCACUUGACAAACACUAACAAACUCUCACACGGCAGAGAAAAAAAAUCAUGUAAGUUUCUCCAUGAGCAAGUGUUUCCAGGAGACUCAACCAAACAGUCAUCAGGAGGAUGACUGAUGUAAUGGCAGAUUUAGUCAGUUUUGAUCGUUUUAACUAUUCACUUUAUUAAUUGUGCCAGGCAAUUUAUCUUGAAGCUCACAGACUUUCCGAAUCGUUCAGUGAGCUGUCGCUCCUGCAUAAUUUACUGGACAUCAAACACAUGUCCAGGCUAAAAUACAUGUACAGAAUGUACAGAGACUCAUAAAAGUCGCCUGGAGAGAAUCUGUGACUUAACUAAAAACAGGAACUGUGGAUAAGUAGCCCACUCUUAGGCACGUCGGCCGAGAUGGGGUAGAGUAGUGGUUUCUAAAAUACCAAUGAAAAAAUUGCAUCUGCUAAGAUGUUUAUGCAUCUCAAAAUUAAGGGAAACUGCUUAUUGAUUAAAGGGUGAAUUUAUCCAGGGUCCUCUUCAUUAGCCAAAUUAUAAAGUCAUUUUUAAUAAUCUUCCAAGAAUUAUCGGAGAAGUAAGGUGAAACAGAAUUCAUUUGUAUUGGCAACAGAAAUCAGCAUUGAUGGCAGGCUGGUCUUCUGGAAACCUAACAGGUGCCAGCAGUACUGGGGAUGAGCAGAGAGCUCAGUGGAGAAGCAACAAAGGGCACGGAAUGGGGUCAAAGUUGGAGAACCAGCAGCCACGCUCCACUACGCCGGCCGUCCACGCGAGAGGGAAGACGGCGCCGCAGGAGGAGCUUCUGCACAGACGGCGUUGCUCAAAUGGAACCCUUUUAAACCUCAAAUUUUGGCCAAACUCAAAUCUAAUCUGGGUUUCAUUCAAUAGACAUUUGCAACCUAUCAACCUCUUAAAAGCUCUGACGAAAGGGAGACAGGCCAUAUGCCUUAUGGUGUUAAAACACCUUUCUGAUAAGAGAAGAUAUCUUACCUCAAUAAACACUUACAUAACCAACCCCUACAUUAUUCACAUAUUAAAAGAGGCAGUUCCACAGUUUUAUUUCAUAAAUGAAUGGAUGAAAACUUACAGUAUGACUUAGAAAUACAUGCUAAAUUUCUGUUUUCCAGUCUGGAUGUACAAUGUAGCAUCUGACAUCCUACAGCAGCACAUCUGCUAAGAAACACUGGAGAAACUCUGGAACCUUCCAUGACUGCAGCACUGGCAGAUUAAAGUCCACCAAGCUAAGUACCAACCUGCAUGAAAUAACUCAUCUGCUCCUUCGUGAGCUCAGUUCCGCUCUAUAGGAAGAGUCCAGCUAGAUACCUUGAACUGCAAAUCUUGCCAGUGAUAAAAAGAGAGAGAUGACUGACUUAGAGCUGUCUGGGAAGAGCUUUCCUUGUGGGUUUCACCUGGACUCUGUUGUGCAGUUACCUGCCACUCUCUGAAUUUCUCUUCAAGUCCUCCGCCAAAGUUGAGGAGAAACCAUUACUCACUGAAUCUGUUUUCUCAGGACGAGGCAUGAAGGACACGGAAAUAACCCUCAAAGAGAUUGUCAGAAAUGAUAUGAUCGCUUUUGAGUUCCCCCUAAACAAACACGGGGCAAAUUGGGGCCGAGUUGCGGCAGAGAAAAUGUGCCGUAGAAAUGUUGAAAGGUCGUCACUACUUGGUAACGACAACGGUUUGCUCUCUGCCGCCUGCCAGCAUGUUCACAUGUAAUCACACAUGUCGCGAUGGAACAAAUAGGGCCUUAACUGAUCUGGCAAUUGGUCCUAAAUGAUCCUUUUUGUUGAAUGCGGAUUUAUUACCCUGAUGUUAUCGCACCGAAGGGGGAGUCUGAGAGUUACGAGAGCCGCACUCCCAAAUAUCUGCCUGUCUGUGACUUCAUGAGAAAGACCACGAAAGUACAGCACAUAUGUGUCAUGGACAGAUUCAUCGAUAGCCAAUUCCGUUUUCACACGUGAAAAUUGUUUUUCAAGAGGGAGAUGCAAAUCAGAAUGGCGCUACAGCCUCAAUACUGUGGGGCCUCCUUUACCUGGACUCAACAACUUCUUGCCAGAAUGUUCUUCCAACCAAUGUUUCCUGAUUAAUUAAACGUUCCCAUCACCUUGAGGGAGCCUCCCCGCCGGCCCCCGGGACCUGGGUGCGGUCUCAUGAUGAGCGCUACACAGGAAACACAAUAAGCAGCCAUCCUGAACUAAAUUAAAUUAGGGGGUGUCGGCUGGGGGGGAGGUGGGGGUGACCGCACAAAGCAAACAGAAAGGCACCUGCACACGCAGAAGAACAAACAUUUUAUCAUUACAGCCACCAUUUCUCAAAAAAUGCACGCUGAGUCAACCGUAAGUUAUGGGUCACAUGACUAGACUGUGGUCUUUUCACCCCUGAGGCCCCCCCUUUUGCAAAUGGCUCCCUCUCCGGCCACUUCCAGGAGACCGUACGGCUCCGGUUUCAACCUGACAGGGUGCGCACUGCUGCCGGCCGGCCCUGUCGCCGUCACUCUCACUCCCACCCGUCUGCCACCCGGCCUGCGGUCAACGCGCCGUGCCCCAUUCUGACAUUUUAGCAGGCGGGCUGCAGAAGAUUGAUGACGAGCCACUGAAGUUUCCACUGACAUCAGUACAGACAUCAGGAGAGACCUUAACUCUGCACUCAGUCCUUCGAAUGAAUGAUCUGGGGAAGCAGAAUGUCAAAGGCAAUGAAUGUACUCAGCACGCAGGAGCGUGUGUGCAGCUUCUUUUGGACAAGCCGAGGAUUAUGGGAAAUGGCCUCACACAAAUAACAUCCCACGAUGCUACAGUAUCAUGUAAGAACACAUUCCAACUGGCCAGGGUAGAAAAUUGCAUUACAUUGUACGUAAAUACAAAGUACUUUAUGAAAAAUAUUAAAUAAAGGAGUCUUACAUUUAUGUACAAUAAAUUCUAUGUAUUUUUACAGUGGACUGAUAAAUAUAUAAUAGGAUUUAGGAUUAGUGUAGGUUUAGAUUACAGGGCAUAAAACCUUCUGGUGUUUUCUCUUAGACACUUAAAGUGUAACACACUGAAGACAUAUUUAGUCUUGACAACCAACUGUUAGCCAGCAAGGAGUUUCAUAAUCGACCAGGGCAUGCUCCAUUUCCUCCCCUGUGCAGCUCCAGCCCGUCUUCCUGUCGUUUCAGUGUCUCGCUGCACACAAACAGCGAACAAUAACCCGCUAAUGUCUGGUGCAGUGGAACAGCGUGUUCCAGCACAGCCAAACAAACAGCGUGAACGGGCCAUUCUCAGACUGCCGCGCUGUGGGGGGGUAUUGGGGGGGUGGUGAGUGAGGCUUCUGAUACGCUGUUCCCCAACAUCCGCUAAACACGGGCGCUGGCGCUGUGGAAACCACUGCAUUCAGUAACCGUGUAGCCACCCGUGAUCGCAGCAUGACCGGAGUGCCGCUAGCUUCAGACGGCAGCCAUGCCGAUCAGACAAGGACAUCCUGAUGACGGGUGAAGCGCGGACAGGAGGGAGGGGGAUGUUGCCUCACACGUGCACACCAGCCCAAGGAUUUAAUCUGAUGCAGCGGGUACUGCUGGACGUCAGGGAGGGACGGUGUCAGUUUCCACGUAAAGCCUCUGUUACCAUGCCAGCAUCCGAUGUGCUUGCACAGAUGUUACCGACUGCUGCAGAAAUAGCCCAGGUGCACCAUGUGACCCAGCAAGUGCCACGGACUCUGCGGUACGGCGGGAAGGCAUCCGAAGUGCCCGCGCACAAUGAGUCACACUUUCUGGGCCCUCCUCCCCUGCUGCCUGGCAUCGAAACGUCCUGCCCUCUCCUCAUCUGUCAUGCUCACACUUCAACUCUCACCUCUUUCUUCCCUGUCGCCGUCGCUCCGUUUGAUCCGUACCAGCCAGAGCUCUGGGCCACAUCCGCGAGUGACUGAGGAGUGGCUCCGAAACACCACAGCCCCACGGACGAAGGCUGCCAAAAUCACAUAAUCACAAUGACCAGCAGACCUGCGCCUCGGAAUGAUUACGAGAGAAACCAGAAGCAGCGGAGCGCACGCCACGCCUGACUCCCGCAGGUGGCAGCCCGCCAUCAGCCAGUGCCACCCGGGCACGGAUUAUAAAACAGGAGCUUGGCUCAAGGACCAAGUCAAGGCAGGGACAGAAAGAUCGAGCCUCCAGACUGGAGCGAUAACCCAUGUGCACACCAGAGCAAAGCGUUUCCACUGACCGUGAAUAAAGAUACGCUGUUUUCACGUUUUCGUGCUUCACACAGGCUGACCUUUCACAGAGUCCUGAGUACAAAUGCAAAUAUCUGCCCACUGUGUUCAGUCUGAUCAUAACGAAGGAAGGAAAGAUCAGUGCCAAAACCGUGAGGAAAUCACUCCAUAAAAGAGACAAUUGUGCACAAAAAUAUGAGAAGGACGAUUACUUAUUUAGAACAGGGAAAAAUCAGUGUUCUGGGGCAAAAGAAUAUGAUUUUAUCAGUUAGCAGCUUGACUUUUAAAACCUUUGUAUAAACUGGAAAGAAUUUAAAUCUUUUGAAGAAUGUGGAUUUAUUUUAGCACUGACCAUCUGAAUCCACAGUCUGGUUUAGGUAUGUUUGAUGUUGUGGGAAACAUGGACAACACCUCAGUUUUAGGGUAAGUGAGGUAGGGUCAGGCAUUCCCCCAAGGAUGGGAUUGGAUUGGUAGCCCCCCCAGGGUUAAGUGGGAGUGGGGGGGGGGGGCUUUAACACCAGAGAUCCUGGGCCGACACAAAGUUUGCCAUGGUGAUAGCAGGAGGCAGGAAGUGCAGGGAGACAUUCUUGGGGGGGGACAAGGACAGAGGUGGAAACUGCCGGGGAUAAGGAGAGAGUUCCGGCCUGGUCUCUGAGGAAUCAGGCCCCUACUCAGGCCAAGCUAAAUACCCCACAUAUGAGGAGCAAGAGAGAGAGAGAAGAGAAAGCUGGGGGGGGGGGGAGAGAAAAUGUUCCCAGACCCAGAAACAUGCCCUCUGUCUGCUGUGCCGGGGACCACAGAAGCCCACAUUCAUGCCUCUCCUGAGAACUUGUCACAAUAAACUGGAUUCUUCAAUACAGAGAUGUCAAACAGCUGGCCAGAAGAAACGGCCACUCGUGUUCCCCCUCUGCCCUCCCAAUAAACUCCCACAAUGCACUCUGUCAGGCGCGGUACCCACACGAGAAAUGGCUCCUGAGCUGCUGCUCGCUCAGUGGCUGAAGCCAACGGCAAGCGAUAGACGGGUGGCGGGAAAGUUCUCGAGAGAGAGAGAGAGAGAGAGAGAGAGGACGAAAAACCAGAAAGGCAGGAUCCAGCAUGUCGGUUUAUCAGGCAUAUAAUGGCUGAACUUUGCUUUCCCUGACUGAGAGGCUCCAGCCCAGUGACUCCUGUUCGCUCCACACAUUCUUACAGCUGCUGCCUCUCAUGCCUUUUCCUGGUGGCUUUUACCGUGUCCUCUUUGGAUCUGGGCUCACCUAUAGGUCUCUGGCUCUCCUAACUGCUCACCUGCUGCUAAGACCGCCGCUGCUGUGCUGUGCCUAAACGUCUGCUCAUUUUGUGACAUCUACUGCUGGAGAGGGGCGGGUCUGCAGCCACUGUUAUAUCAGGGACAGGUUCAGGUGUCACCUGGCAACCAGGAUAAUCAAGCAGCCAAAUGGCCUCAUCAGCCGACUCAGCGUCUGUCAGUCUUACACUGUCAUAACAUGUGGGAUGGGAUGCAUUUUAUGGAUGUAAUUUCCAUACACUUGAGUCGGGCCGACCAGCAUGACCAGCCGUUCGGCACGACUGGCACGCCGAAGUGGGCGCGGAGCCAGCUCUCUGCUCCGCAAACACUGGCAGAAUUGCUGAGUUAACAAGGCUGGGGACAUUGGGCUUUCUUUUCCUCACAAAUGACUCGGUCUCUAAGAGCAAUGAACAGACCGAAGAAGGGAGCAUUAGGCAGCGAGAGGUGACGUAACGAGAGAGAGUCGAGGCAGGACUUUGAACAAAUGUCUAUAUCACCGUGAAACCAGCAAUGCAGAGGCAACGGCACAGAUCAGCUGCUGCACAUAACAUUUAUACAUUUAAUCGUACCCUUGCCCCCCACUCAGUGAAGCUUCUGUUCCAAUAUCGCUUGUCUUCUGCCUUGUGAACAAAAACAGUUUAAAAAUAAAAAAAGGAAAAAAAAAACUGACCUAUGACCUCUUUUAUAAGAAGCCGUUUCUAAUUUAGCCGUGGAAUGGAAUCACGGUCCACUGAGGCGAGGAUGACAAAUUUUGGUUUGAUGCUUUUACUGGCUAAAAAUGUAAACAAUGACAUCAGUCAGCUGAGUGCAGGAGUCGGGAUUAGACAGGUAAGGACCUGCCGGAGUGCGGGACGCCAGCAGGGAAUGUCGCUCGCCUGUCGCAGCCCCCACAGGCUGCUCUGAAGGAUGCAUGGCCCCCUGCCCUCUUUUAGGGUGGGACAGCGCCAGUGACUCACUCUCAGCUCAAAGCGCACAUUUAAUCCCGGAGAAAACAC